GAUUUUUGUAGUUGAGUAACAACGGUGAUUUUUCAAGUCAUUAGCCCUGGUUAGAGUCCUGGCAAGAAUU
rnacentral:tRNA from 1 species